UACGUAGGGUGCGAGCGUUGUCCGGAAUUAUUGGGCGUAAAGAGCUUGUAGGCGGUUUGUCGCGUCUGCUGUGAAAUCUCAAGGCUCAACCUUGAGCUUGCAGUGGGUACGGGCAGACUAGAGUGUGGUAGGGGAGACUGGAAUUCCUGGUGUAGCGGUGAAAUGCGCAGAUAUCAGGAGGAACACCCGUGGCGAAAGCGGCUCUCUGGAACGGUACUGACGCUGAGACGCGAAAGCGUGGGGAGCGAACAGG
rnacentral:rRNA from 1 species